rnacentral:rRNA from 1 species
CCUACGGGAGGCAGCAGUGGGGGAUAUUGCACAAUGGGGGAAACCCUGAUGCAGCGACGCCGCGUGUGGGAAGACGGUCCUCUGGGUUGUAAACCACUGUCCCCAGGGACGAAGAUGACGGUACCUGGGGAGGAAGCUCCGGCUAACUACGUGCAAGCAGCCGCGGUAAUACGUAGGGAGCGAGCGUUGUCCGGAAUUACUGGGUGAAAAGGGGGCGUAGGCGGGACUGCAAGUUGGGUGUCAAAUCUACCGGCUCAACCGGUAGCCGCACUCAAAACUGCAGUUCUUGAGUGAAGUAGAGGCAGGCGGAAUUCCUAGUGUAGCGGUGAAAUGCGUAGAUAUUAGGAGGAACACCAGUGGCGAAGGCGGCCUGCUGGGCUUUUACUGACGCUGAGGCUCGAAAGUGUGGGGAGCAAACAGGAUUAGAUACCCCAGUAGUC